AUGGGGGCAGGAAGCAUGUGGCAGUGCAAGCUGCUUACCUUCGGGAAGCUAGGAAACAAAGAGUGGGACAGCAAGGGCUGGGAUCCCAAAAGCCGCUUCAUGAACAUGCUUCACGGACAUGCUCAGAGUGACCUAACUCUUUCCCAUGAUGCUCCAGCUGGAGGAGGAUCAGAAAUUCAAAGUUCUUCCUGGCUACAUAUGAAUGGCAGUGCAUGUAUAGACUCAUGGUUGCUUAAGACGAUGAGAGUGGUUGCCCUUCUGCCUGGUCCUUGCUGUUGGGGCACACCCCUAUGUGGUCUGCUCCCACGAAGACUCCAUAUUCUAAUCCAUCUUAGAGGACUCGCUGCACUCAGAGCAGUGG
rnacentral:lncRNA from 1 species